GAUGAACGCUGGCGGUGUGCCUAAUACAUGCAAGUGGAGCGAACGAACAAGAAUUGCGCUUCUCUGAUGUUGGCAACGGGCGGGUGAGUCACACGUGGAUAACCUAGCUGUACGACAGAGAUCACGUCGGGAAGCGGGAGCUCAUGCCGUAGAAUAUUUUGAUCAGCAUGUUUCCAAAGGGAAGCACGGUCUUCCUGUCACGUAGAGAUGCGUCCGCGCUUCAUUAGCUGGUUGGUAAGGUAACGGCCUACCAAGGCAACGAUGGAUAGCCGGCCUGAGAGGGUGAUCGGCCACACUGGAACUGAGACACGGCCCAGACUCCUACGGGAGGCAGCAGUAGGGAAUCUUCCGCAAUGGGCGAAAGCCUGACGCAGCAACGCCGCGUGAGGGAUGAAGGUCUUAGGAUUGUAAACCUCUGUUAGUAGGGAAGAACAUAUGUGUAAGUAAAUGUGCGAAUCUUGACGGUACCUAAACAGAAAGCCACGGCUAACUACGUG
rnacentral:rRNA from 1 species